CCCUAGAUAUCGCAGCUUGAACUUCUCUGUACAAACUUUUUGAAGAUCCUUCUGAGUUUGACAUGUGUUUAGGAGAUCCACAGUACUCUGCCAAUGCCCCAAGAUUUUGCCUACUCUUUCCUGUUGAUUCAGAUAUAACUAGAUCACCACAUGCCCCAAUCUGAUCAAGAUUCGAGUUGCUCUAAUCACCUAAUGCCCCAUUUUGAUCAAUAUUUGAGCCGCCCUUUUCGGGUUUUCAACUCAAAUCCCCUUUGGUCUCA
rnacentral:lncRNA from 1 species